CAGGCUUAACACAUGCAAGUCGAACGCGUGUAGCAAUACACGAGUGGCGCACGGGUGAGUAACGCGUGGAUAUCUGCCUUUUGGUUCGGAAUAACCCCGGGAAACUGGGGCUAAUACCGGAUGGUUCCUUCGGGAUAAAGAUUUAUCGCCAAAAGAUGAGUCCGCGUACGAUUAGCUAGUUGGUGAGGUAAUGGCUCACCAAGGCGACGAUCGUUAGCUGGUCUGAGAGGACGAUCAGCCACACUGGGACUGAGACACGGCCCAGACUCC
rnacentral:rRNA from 2 species